rnacentral:rRNA from 1 species
UACGGAGGGAGCUAGCGUUGUUCGGAAAUACUGGGCGUAAAGCGCACGUAGGCGGCGCAGCAAGUCAGGGGUGAAAUCCCGGGGCUCAACCUCGGAACUGCCUUUGAUACUGCAAGUCUCGAGUCCGAUAGAGGUGAGUGGAAUUCCUAGUGUAGAGGUGAAAUUCGUAGAUAUUAGGAAGAACACCAGUGGCGAAGGCGGCUCACUGGAUCGGUACUGACGCUGAGGUGCGAAAGCGUGGGGAGCAAACAGG